GAGAGCGGGCCGGGGGGCUCGGCCCGGGAGGGCUGAGGAAGGUCCGCCCACGCCCGACCCCCGCGCCCCCGCAAGGGGGAGCCCCGAGAGGGGCUGAGGGGCCCACAGAAACGACACGUCCCCGCGGACAUGGCGGUGACGCCGGCGAGGCAGAGGACCCGCGGGGGACCGGUGAAACGCGGGCCGCCGCGGGGUGCAAGCCGCCCCGCCGUGAGCAGGUCGGGCGAGCGGGGCAGGGCGCGCAGCCCAAUCCCCCCGCGAGUACAGAAGGCGGACUAUGGCCCGCACUC
rnacentral:RNase_P_RNA from 1 species